CUAGAUGUUACUUUUCCACAUAAGCCUUGUGCUUAUGAGUCAGGCUGCUGACUACGGAGGGAUAACUUUUGUACUUGCCGAGGGCCCACGAAGCUCCAUGUGCCCGCUGCUUCCGAGUGCUGCGCUGCUGCUUGGGCAACAGCCGGGGAGGAAUUGGUGGUCCCUUGUGGUUACACAGCCAGGCCUGCUGUGGACACAGUGCGUCCAGUCGGGCAGUAUUAUUUUUCUAGAUUAUAAAUGAGCCUGAGGCAUAAACCCAUUUACAUUUCUGUAUGGCAGUAUACUUUGUCAGAGAGCUCAGUCGAGCUGGCAGAGUUCCCUUGGGACUCCAGAUUUGACUGUCUUGUUGAAAGGCUCGAGAGCCUGCUUUGGAAGUUACUUGACAAGGCACAGCUUUGCUGUGAUUUUUGUAUUUGAAUUCUGACUGUAAUGCCAAUGCCAUGUGUUAGCCUUUCUCCAGCAGUUAUAAAAGCAGAACGAGCAUUAAGAAUCUGAUUACAUUUAACUAAAUUCAAAACAAAGUUGAGGGAUGAAGUGACUGGAAGUCCUGCAAGUCUGACUGGGUAUUACUGCCGUGCACGUUAUCUGCCUGUCUACCGAUCGUUCCUGCCUCUUGUUCUGUUGUGGGCGUGGGAAGGCCAGAGAGACUGGAAGCCUCGGCUGUUGUGUGCGGAGAAGCUGUCAGCCUUCUAAGAGAGCGUGUAGCCAGCAAGCGCAUCGUGGUGCUUCGAUACCAAGCUGAUACCACAGGCCUCGAUCUCUUUUUUUGUGAAAACGGAUCACAAGGAAAUGUGCUGAUGUUGAAGGGGGAAAGGUGGUGGGGGAAGAGAUUUGAGCAUCGAUGCCAUGGAUGUAACAGGAGAGCAGCAGCAGGAUGUAGAGCACGAGCCGUUUAAACAAUGCUUGGAUAAAGCUGCCAAUCAUGUGACUCCAGAAGCCGAGAGACACAGUAAGAUGCUAUUCUGCCAUUCUUGGAUGGAUGCUCUCACAGUCUUUCCAUCACCGUAUGCCUGCUAUGAGAUUUGUGGGAGCAAGGGACGGCUGAAUUCACAGCAUUUUAAACACCACAAACUCUUGAAGAGUUUAUAGGACACAAAUCUAUUACACUGGCAGAUCAGACAAGCUCCUCUGUGUGUGUAUAUAUAUUAUACUUGGUACUUCUGCGAGGCAAGUCUUUGCCUAGUCCCUCCGAAACUGGGACAAGGACUCAUUGAUGCAUUUCAGGAGCAAAGCUGCUGAGUGAACAGGCUUUUCCUACUAGAAAUCAAGCAGCUGCUUUGGCAAAACUUGACUUUGGUUGCAUCUUUAAGUCCUAGGAGGCUGACAAAUGGGACGAGCUGGUUAGAGGAAAGAGCCUCUCUCCAGGGAAGGCUCCGCUGACGUGACCCUUAAGCCUAAACUUGCAUCUUACUAUGUUUGCUUUGUGUGUGUUAAUGCAUACCCGAUUAAUAGAUUUCAGUUGAUUUACAGUUACAAGUUGGAGUAAGUGGUCCUUGGCUAUAUAAACCUCUCCUCUGCGUUUUUUUACAUGUUAUGACUUACUGUUGUACUUCAGUACAAACCGGGAACGAUUCUGGUAGUGUUGCAAUAUAAUGGUAAUACUUUCCCGACUUUGUCUUUCUAAAACGUGAGGUCCUUAUUAUCUGUUCUGGGAGAUAGUGUAGUUCUGUGUAUUGGCAUGAACUAAAUUUGCUGAUUUGUUGUAA